AUACUCUUAUUGCUUUGGCGGGCCGUGGCCUCCACUACGGGCUCUGCUCGUGUGUGCCCGCCAGAGGACCAAACUCUGAAUGUUAGUGAUGUCUGAGUACUAUUUAAUAGUUAAAACUUUCAACAACGGAUCUCUUGGUUCUGGCAUCGAUGAAGAACGCAGCGAAAUGCGAUAAGUAAUGUGAAUUGCAGAAUUCAGUGAAUCAUCGAAUCUUUGAACGCACAUUGCGCCCUGUGGUAUUCCGCAGGGCAUGCCUGUUCGAGCGUCAUUUGACCACUCAAGCCCCCAGCUUGGUGUUGGGGCACGCGGUUUCGCGGCCCUUAAAAACAGUGGCGGCGCCGGUGGGCUCUAAGCGUAGUACAUACUCCCGCUAUAGAGUUCCCCCGGUGGCUCGCCAGAAC
rnacentral:misc_RNA from 1 species